GAAAGCCGUGUGCGGGAAAAUCGCAUGCACGGUUUGAAGAGGGGGCAGACUUCGUCGUGAGCUCGGUCGAACGAUGAUAAGUAUAUGGCGGAGAUAUGGUGGCACUGGCGGGAAACCAGCCAGCAAACAGAGAAAACAAACUUCUGCCUAAGUUCUCGUCGUCUGUUUCUACUCUAC
rnacentral:ncRNA from 1 species